AUUGAACGCUGGCGGCAGGCUUAACACAUGCAAGUCGAACGGAACCUUCGGGUUUAGUGGCGAACGGGUGAGUAAUACCUAGGAAUCUGCCUGUUAGUGGGGGAUAACGGCUCGAAAGGGUCGCUAAUACCGCAUACGUCCUACGGGAGAAAGAGGGGGAUCUUCGGACCUCUUGCUAAUAGAUGAGCCUAGGCCGGAUUAGCUAGUUGGUAGGGUAAAGGCUCACCAAGGCGACGAUCUGUAGCGGGUCUGAGAGGAUGAUCCGCCACACUGGAACUGAGACACGGUCCAGACUCCUACGGGAGGCAGCAGUGGGGAAUUUUGGACAAUGGGCGCAAGCCUGAUCCAGCCAUGCCGCGUGAGUGAAGAAGGCC
rnacentral:rRNA from 1 species